rnacentral:misc_RNA from 1 species
GUUCAACCAAAGUAAUCAAAAACUCUCUUCUUCGAGUCUUCAAAAUCCCCAAACAAAUAGAAAAUCUGAAGAAUCACAAAUCUCCGUAAUUAGUAGGUAAUUAAAUAGCGAAUCAAUUAGUAGGUUUGCUCGAGGAGUAACGACGUCGUUGUAUCGCGAUAUGGCUGUUGCAUCUGAGGAAACCACUAACAUAUGCAGCCACUGUGACAGAGCUAUCCCUUCCUUGAAUAUUGAUUUGCAUUUUGCUCAUUGUUCUCGGAAUCUUGAAAAAUGUAAACUUUGUGGUGACAUGGUCCCAAAAAAGCAUGCUGAGGAACAUUUCUUAAACACUCAUGCCCCGGUGGCCUGUUCGCUAUGCAGUGAGACAAUGGAGCGUGAAGUUCUAGCAAUCCAUAAAGGUGAAAUUUGUCCUCAAAGGAUUGUCACAUGCGAAUUCUGCGAGUUUCCAUUGCCUGCAAUUGAUCUAGCUGA